rnacentral:rRNA from 1 species
UACGGAGGAUGCAAGCGUUAUCCGGAAUGAUUGGGCGUAAAGCGUCCGCAGGUGGCUAUGUAAGUCUGCUGUUAAAGAGUGAGGCUCAACCUCAUAAGAGCAGUGGAAACUACAUGGCUAGAGUGCGUUCAGGGCAGAUGGAAUUCCUGGUGUAGCGGUGAAAUGCGUAGAUAUCAGGAAGAACACCGGUGGCGAAAGCGCUCUGCUAGGCCGCAACUGACACUGAGGGACGAAAGCUAGGGGAGCGAAUGGG